ACGUGAAGGAUGCAUGUUAGAAAGUGUUGAAGGGAAGAAGGAGACGGUUUGCCGUUGAAGCUGAGUUCUGGAUGAACUCAGGUUCGGCAGCCGAAGGUUCAUUCGGCCGCCGAACCUCUUGCAUGGUGGCUUAGGCUGCCAUAGCUUGCCCCCGCUAGUUGUGCAUGUUCGGCUCUGUUUGGGGGAUUCGGCCGCCGAAGGUGCCGCCGAAGGUUAGAGACUUUCGUCUCUGGAGUGCCUUGUGGCCUCCGAAACUUGCCCCCGAAAGGGUUCGGCCGCCGAACAUAGAGAUUCGGCCGCCGAAGGUGCUUGAGUUUCGUCUCUGGAGAGGACAUUCGGCCGCCGAACCUGCCGCCGAAAGUGUUCUGUCCAGCUUUCCUUUGCUUGCUUUGCAUGACUAUUAGAGUGAGUGUAAGGGGAUUCUUGGGGAGUUUAAGAG
rnacentral:lncRNA from 1 species